CAGGCAGGCCUGCAUUGUGUAAAAAAAAAAAAAAAGCAGCAAGAGUGAUGGAGGGAAGCAAUCGAAAUAAUGGCUCCUUCUUUCAUUGGAUGUUAUAAUCAGAGGACACGGAAAGGUCUAUACUGUUCCAUUCAUUCUUGCUGUGUGCCAUUGCAUCCCAUACCAUCCCUUUCUGCCCAACUGCUACAGAAGCUGUGAUAUAUUGCUGAGAGAGACAGGAGAAGAGAAGAGGAAAGUAAAUCUUCAACCACCAGUUAUGUCUAUGUCUAUGUCUCAUCCAGAA